rnacentral:rRNA from 1 species
AGAGUUUGAUCAUGGCUCAGGACGAACGCUGGCGGCGCGCCUAAUACAUGCAAGUCGAGCGAGAACCAGGGCUUGCCCUGGGGAGAGCGGCGAACGGGUGCGUAUCACGUGAGCAACCUGCCUCAGAGACCGGGAUAACUCGAGGAAACUCGGGCUAAUACCGGAUGCCCUCGUUGGACCGCAUGGCCCGGCGAGGAAAUGGAUUCCGCUCUGAGAUGGGCUCGCGGCCUAUCAGCUUGUUGGUGGGGUAACGGCCUACCAAGGCAACGACGGGUAGCUGGUCUGAGAGGACGAUCAGCCACACUGGGACUGAGACACGGCCCAGACUCCUACGGGAGGCAGCAGUAGGGAAUCUUGCGCAAUGGGGGAAACCCUGACGCAGCGACGCCGCGUGCGGGAUGAAGGCCUUCGGGUCGUAAACCGCUUUCAGCAGGGACGAAAUUGACGGUACCUGCAGAAGAAGGCCCGGCCAACUACGUGCCAGCAGCCGCGGUGAUACGUAGGGGUCUAGCGUUGUCCGGAAUCAUUGGGCGUAAAGAGCUCGUAGGCGGUUCGAUUAGUCGGGUGUGAAAUCUCCACGCUCAACGUGGAGGGGCCACUCGAUACUGUCGUGACUCGAGUCCGGUAGGGGAGUUCGGAAUUCCCGGUGUAGCGGUGAAAUGCGCAGAUAUCGGGAGGAACACCAGUGGCGAAGGCGGAACUCUGGGCCGGAACUGACGCUGAGGAGCGAAAGCGUGGGGAGCGAACAGGAUUAGAUACCCUAGUAGUCC